AAGUCGUAACAAGGUUUCCGUAGGUGAACCUGCGGAAGGAUCAUUAGCGUAUUUGCCGGAGGAGUCGGCGGGGCUCGCACCCGCGGAGACGCGGCGCUGCAGCCUCUCCCUCGCCUUCUUCCAAACCGAACACCUGUGAACCUUUGGGUCGGUGGCCUUCGCGGGCCGCCUUCCCGUUUUCAUAAACUCUUUGUUUGAUGAAUGUCCGAUUCGGGGCAGCCCCGAUGUCGAAACUUUGAAACAACUUUCAGCAACGGAUCUCUUGGCUCUC
rnacentral:misc_RNA from 1 species